UGAACAUAAUUUUUGUUUCAC
rnacentral:piRNA from 1 species